rnacentral:rRNA from 1 species
GAUGAACGCUGGCGGCGUGCCUAAUACAUGCAAGUCGAGCGAACGGACGAGAAGCUUGCUUCUCUGAUGUUAUCGGCGGACGGGUGAGUAACACGUGGAUAACCUACCUAUAAGACUGGGAUAACUUCGGGAAACCGGAGCUACUACCGGAUGAUAUUUUGAACCUCAUUGUUCAAAAGUUAAAUACGGUCUUGCUGUCACUUAUAGAUGGAUCCGAGCUUCAUUAGCUAGUUGGUAAGGUAACGGCUUACCAAUGCAACGAUGCAUACCCGACCUGAGAGGGGGAUCGGCCACGCUGGAACUAGGGCACGGUCCAGACUCCUACGGGAGGCAGCAGGAGGAAAUCUUCCGCAAUGGGCGAAAGCCUGACGAGGCAACGCCGCGUGAGUGAUGAAUGUCUUCGGAUCGUAAAACUCUGUUAUUAGGUAAGAACAUAUGGGUAAGUAACUGUGCACAUCUUGACGGUACCUAAUCAGAAAGGCACGGCUAACUACGGG